GACAACUUAGAGAUAAAGACCCUAGGUUCCCCUUUUUCCUUACUGAGAACUCUAGGUUCUCACCCUUCUUUCUUUCUUUUCCCCCUCCCCAGACGGGUCCGGCAGAGGAGCCCUGUGAGUUUCGUUCUAACUGCUGAGCUAUGAGGAUCUGACGCGCGGCGGAGUCUUCAUAUGGAGCACGUUUUGGACCUCUUUCUUGCACAAUGUUCGGAGAUCACUCCAGAGUUAGUCGCAGUGGAUCUUUCGCUCCUGUUUGAUGAUCUUAGUAUCACUUUCUCCUCACUUUUGUAGUACUUUUAGAGGGGUAGGACGUCUUAGUAGUUCGGUUCCAGCUUAGGAAACCCGUGUGAGGGUUGGGACUGAUUUCUUCUUUUGUAUCUGUACAUAUAACUUGGUGUGAUACUCGGCUUUGAUGGAUGACACGUAUCCUUGAACUUAACUCAUGUGUAUAUUAUAUAUAUGUUUAUAUAUGUUAUUUUCUGUUGCCUUGUGUUUUCUUACACGACAACUCUGAAGAAACUAACCUUGCGAGCAACUAAACGCUAUUCCACGAGUAGUAAUCUGUUCACGAUUAAACCGAUAAAGGCUUUUAUUGAUAUUAAUUUAUAAAAAUCUGAGUCUAGAGCUUAGUAGGCUGCACGACGAGUAACAC
rnacentral:lncRNA from 1 species